rnacentral:rRNA from 1 species
GUGUACACAAGAUAGAGCUCACAUCAAGUUUAUAUAAACUUUACAAUUAAAUCCACCUUCAAAAGCUAUUUUCAUAAACUUUAUCCGUUUUAAUCUUUUAAAUGUAACCCACCUCUGUCUUUUAUAUAAGCUGCACCUUUACUUGAAGUCAAUGACUUUACCAUGAAUGAAAGUUUUCUAAAGAAACUGACUGACAACAGCGGUAUACAAACUGAAUACAAAUAAAAGUAGAGUUAAAUCGUGGACCAUCGUUUAUAGGGCAGGUUCCUCUAAAUGGCUAUCUUGCCGCCAAAUCCGUUAAAUUUCAUUAAUAUUACUAUUCCAAAAUCUUUUAAAUACAAGUA